GAAACUCGCCUACAUGAAGCUGGAAUUGCUAGUAAUCACAGGUCAGCAUACUGUGGUGAAUACGUUCCCGGGCCUUGUACACACCGCCCGUCACACCAUGAGAGUUGAGAAUACCCGAAGCCCAUGUCAAAGUGGUCGAAGGUAGGCUUGAUGAUUGGGGUGAAGUCGUAACAAGGUAGC
rnacentral:rRNA from 1 species